rnacentral:sRNA from 1 species
GACGGUGAUGCAAUGCCGCGUAUACCUCUCACGGCCGGCGCGACAGCCAUGACGGCGGUGGAGCUCGCCGGCGGCGGCCGGAGGCGGUGGCUGGCUGGGGACGUAGUCCAUGCCGGUAUAUCUGUCACGUAUAUGUACGAUGUAUCUAUCUAUGUAUUUAGUGUCCAGCAAGCAAUUAUGUACUGAUGUAGUAGUAAGCAAUACUUAUCAGAAUAAUAAUAAUAAUUAUAAUAAUAAUAUAAAUUCUCAAUUUUGGCC